rnacentral:rRNA from 1 species
AUUGAACGCUGGCGGCAUGCCUUACACAUGCAAGUCGAACGGCAGCGCGGGGCAACCUGGCGGCGAGUGGCGAACGGGUGAGUAAUAUAUCGGAACGUGCCCUGGAGUGGGGAUAACGUAGCGAAAGUUACGCUAAUACCGCAUACGAUCCAAGGAUGAAAGCAGGGGACCUUCGGGCCUUGUGCUCCUGGAGCGGCCGAUAUCUGAUUAGCUAGUUGGUGGGGUAAAAGCCUACCAAGGCGACGAUCAGUAGCUGGUCUGAGAGGACGACCAGCCACACUGGAACUGAGACACGGUCCAGACUCCUACGGGAGGCAGCAGUGGGGAAUUUUGGACAAUGGGGGCAACCCUGAUCCAGCAAUGCCGCGUGUGUGAAGAAGGCC